UGUGAGUGAUAUGUUAAGGAAUGUAUAGUUCCAUUAAAUGCAUUGUUAAAAUUAAUUAAUUAUUCCAUCUGUAUAUACAAUUUCACAUGCUUCGUAAAUAUGAAUUUUGUAAGUAAAAUUAUAUUGCCACUCUAUAUCAGUCUUUCACUUUCAGUGGUCAGGCACAUUUUUUAUGCAUCCUGCUCAUAUCAUGUCAUGCUAAUAUGCUGUGUUCAGCAGAUACAUUCCCUGAUGGUAGAUAACUCUGGCCAUUCCCGGUUUUAGACAUGUUUUACACUUUCCUCAACCUGGACCGUUGGCCGCCGUUUUAACUGGUCAAGUCUGUUUUAGACUGUUGACAAAUAGUAUGAUAUGAUGGUGUGGUCUGAGCUGGUUUGACGGUCCGUGCAGUUUCACAAUUCCAUUCGGUGUUUUCAAUGUUUGGAGGAAGCUUCAUCGCCACCGUCCCUUGCUUCUUUCCGUCUUCCACCGCCGGCGCCAGCGUGAUGUUCACCGGCCAUGCUGCAACGACAUCCGUUGGCUCACCAUUUUCCUGCUAGCCCCUUGCUCACUGUCCAUGCCAGCCUUCCAUGGUAGAGUCAUUAUCAUUUGGGAAGUGGCGAAGGGCUGAGCAUCAACGUGGAUGCCUCACGACUCUUGGUGACUAUUGUCUUUGUCCCUUGCUCUUGGUCCAACUUCCUUUAGCCACAAGGGGUGUCGAUUGUCGAGUGAGCAGCAACAACAAAUGAAGCAGACUGCGUGUAGUUACUUAUGUUCUUUGCUCAAUUUUUCGCGGGAUUUCACUUCCUUCUUGUUUUCCAAAUUAUGUAAAUCCUACUAAUUAUAGUCCCUUAUGUAGAUAUAUUUUAUCAUGCCUUUGUUAAUUAUCUAUUCACACUGAUUUGCAUCUUUUGUUGUGUUCUCUGUAGGUAUCUAUGCAGAUUGUUCUUUGCAGCUUUGUCAUUUCCCUCUCUCUUCAUAUUGGUUGUAGCCAUUGAUAUGCAGUCUAGCCUGGAGUCUGGAUUUUGUACAGUCUACAUGAUCUGGUCCGUCGAAUAGACCAAAGUUUUGCACAACCGUACCUAUCGCUUUCUAUGGAUUCUAAUGGCAGCACUCGGUUUUCUAAUGGUUAUCAUAUUGUUGAUCGUGCCAGUGAGGAAGGGUACUUUGGUGCUGUGUAAGCAUGUAUAUAUUGUGGAAAUUUAAAGCCUCUUCAUUUUCUUGGUAAAUACCUUGAGCACAUACAUAUGACUUUACUUCUGGGCAAGUAGCUAAAAUUCAGUUGUUUUAAGAGUAUUCUAUGACAUGAUGAUUUCUAUGAACCUCAUAAAAAUGUAAUAUGCAUUUGAUCCUAUUGACUGUUUCUACAUCAAAUUAUUUGCACCUACUAUUUUCCAAAAUACUUUCUUCACAUAAAACUAUAGGGGAAGUCCCUAAGGCCUCAAAUUUGGUUCGGGUCAGUUUUCUGUAAAAGAUCAUUUGAAUUUAGCGUUUUAAUGGGGAACCUGAUCCCCGCCCCAUACCCGAUGGGGAUGGGGAUGGGAAAAAUGUCUCUCCGAUUGUUUAAUGGGGAUGGGGAUGAGAAAGCACUCCCCGGUGGGGAGCAGCCCCAUUGCCAUCCCUGGCUGUGAGUAACUUUGGAGUGUGUGUGCCUCUUCUUUCUAUUUUGAGUUAUCUUGGAGAGUGUGUACCUCCUUUGUCCUUUAUGUUUGUGGGAUAAUUACACAUACAUUAAGUUGUACAUGUUUUAGUGUGGCUUCUAAAAUGAAAAAUUAUCAAUCCUUCUCCAUGCAUGUAGUCUUGCAGUCCUACAACCUAAAAUAUGAUGUUAUGAUCUGUGCUUGACUCACACGUAAACAUUCAGAAAUUUUUGUGUAUUUCAGAUCAGAUUUCUAUCUUAAUUAGGUUAAUAUUGGGUGCCUGUUUUGACUAGGCUUUUGGCUAUUAGGUUAAUCUGGGCUAAAAAACCAUCAUAAGUAUGUUUCUUCAUGCACUUCCCGCCAGUUAAUUUGGAUGUUGCACCCGCAUUUGAGCUUCUUGCUAUACAGUAUGUAUACUGAUACUAAUAUGUGUAUCCCCUCUCUUUUCUGCCAACUCUUUUUCCUGCUAUAUUUACCAUGCCACCGGAAAUGUAUCAUUGUUCCUGCUAUGUGCUCUCACUGCCACUACCUCUCCAAGCUUGUGCUAUGUGCUCUGCUUCCUUUCUCCUUCCUCUUGAAAAAAUAAUAUUAUUGUUAUAUCUGCAAACAAAAAUACUUGGUUAAAUUUCCUGCCAUCAAUGGGGAUUAGUAGAUUUUAAUUCUAUUGUUCAUUCCACUGUUUUUCAUGCCUUUGUAGCUGAAGGAUUAGUGCGAGAACUUGGACUGAAUUCAAAUAUGUCGCAUACUUAUCUUCCUGAAACAAUAGCAGAGAAAAAUCAAACAGUACUCCGUUCGUUAAUAAUCAGUUGGACAAACAGUAUACUAAAUUUUACAUUUGCACGACUACUGGACAAACAGUUCUGACCUAGAUUGACUACCAAAUGCCGCGCAGACUCGAGAAUUUGAGACAGUGGUGCAAGGCGCCUAACUGUCUUCUCUGUUAUUCUCUGUUAUGUUUUAUAUUCAGUUCUCCAGUAGGAUACUGUCCAGUUUUUCCAAGUUCAAGGUUACAAUAUUGUUUGGUGUGCUCUCGGUGACGUCUCUGCUAUAUGGUAAUAAAACAGAUUUAUAGGAGUUGAUUCUCACGUGAGAGCAACCAAUAGAGUAUCUGAGUGUUUCUCUAAAAUAAACCUUCUGAGUUCAUUUAAGAUGUUCCUGUGAAAUAGAGUACUUUGUUCUAUGCUUUUAUGUUGUUUGACAUAUUUUUUAAUUUGUCAUGUUCAUGGUUUUUAAGACGUCUGCUUUGGGACACUUAGCUGAUGAGGCGCCCCUCACAGCGUCUUCCAAAUUUGUCCGCUUUCGGUGCUUAGGCGCCUGCUUAGGCUCCAGAGUGUGGGGUAGAACAUUUUAGGACCCCUUACUGCCUUUAAAAAGCAUGGUCAUAUUUUAGAAAUAUUAGAGCUCAGCUAGAAUAAGGUAUGAAGAGCUUGAUGAAAUUUAUCCGCGAUUGGUGAAUAGGUCUAAUGGUUUUUAGCUAUGCCUACAAAUCUUGAAUGCAUGAUUGAAAUAAUUUUUCUGAAUAGCUUAGGUAUCCAAAUAGUAAGACAAUACUGUAGUUGGCUAAUGCAAAGCUACAUAGCGAAAAAGACUGCUUGAUUGAUUACAUCGCCGCAAGUUUUCUGUUGAUCUAACCAAUGAAUGGACAUGCUUGAUAUCCCUAAAACAAAUUAACGAAAACUAAACUGCCAUUUAGUGGAAGGCCUUCUUUGUCGCGGCGGGCGAGCGCAUUCUGUGUCACUCCACCAGUCCACCUGUAUGUUCUCUGUUCAUUUUUUUAGCAAUCUGUAGAGCAUUCAAUAGAACUGUCAAAAGAGUGCCAGUUUAGUAUAUGUUGAUUUCUGGGCCAUCAUAUUACAACGUUAAUUCAGCUGUGAAUUUAUAAUGGAAUGAGACACUUUGAAAAGGUGGGUGUGGCCUUCGACACGGCGUGCGAGCGCCUUCUCUUGAUGUCAUUGUGGUGGGGUUUUUGAUAAGUCUGUGCUCAGCGUCGUAUAUAUUCUUGUUAUGGUGCUAGAUCCUUGGCAUAUACAUCAGUUUUAUGUCUUGCUUGUGUUGUAUAUAUUUUGGUCUGGUGCUAGAUCUUUGGUCGUGAGGUCCUAUUGAUCUGUUAGUUCUAGGAAAUAAAUGAAUACAAAUGUGUGGAUUUUAUCUAUUCACGUGGUGUUUUCAGAUUUGAGCUUGCAACUGAAUCUAAAGAUUGCUUUUGUGGAUGGGUAAAACAGAAAGUCUGAAACUACAUAAUAUAAGUAUCGAUGCCACUGUUUGCAGGUUCGGUGUGCCUUGGGUUGAAUCUCGGUUGAUUUUUAUGCAGCAGAUUGUGGUCGAGCUGGUACCUCUCCCUCCCCAUGUAGAAGCAGCCUGUGAGCUCCAAUGUCACAACUUGAAAGACAGGAAUAAUAGUUCAGAACUUCAGAUAAAAGAUGGGCACAAUAAUUAUACGUAUAAAACAUGGCAACCAUAAUUCUAUGGAGGAAAGUUGGCAAUAACGAUGUGUUGACUUCGGGAGUUCAAGAUGAUAUCUACGGCCAAAAUUACAUGAAUUAUGAAUCAGUGUAAUUAGAUAGAACAAAAAUUAUACCCCUCUUGUUUAAAAUGUGUCAAAACAUGAUGUUUCUCCUCUUGUUUCUUUUUGAUGCAAUCCAAAUGCCUUAGGUGAAGUACCAGUUAUGCAGCAACCCUAACAAGUGAGAAUCUCUAUGCCAUUUCAUUUGUUCCCUUUUUACUGAUAUGCUUCUCAAUCUUUUUGAUGCAGUUAAUUCCAUGUGGAAGGCAUUGUACUCAUCAUUAGCUCCCAUGCGUUCCACUGCAGACAUUAUUUCUUCAGUCCUAGAGUGCAUCAAACCAGAUGGACUUCGUUCCACUGCACAGUUUUGAGCUUGACAACCUUUAGACAUUGAUUUCGUUUGGAACAGUAUGGUGUGCAGAAUGGCGGGAGGAAAGGUUGGCCCAACAGGAGCAGGUUGCAGUUGUGGCCGCCUGGGCGGGAGGAGAAGCUGGCCCAGCAACGAUCGACUCCUUCAGGUGGACGCAUGGGCGCAGUUGCGGCAGCCCGAGAUGGAGAAGAAGAUGCACCGGCCUCCUUGAGGCGGAUGCGAGCUUGGGCAGCAGGAGGCCGCUGGCGCGAGGUGCCGGGGACGAGCUCGAGCGGGAGGGCAGCGGGAAUGCCGGUGGCGCUAGGGCAGCAGGAGUAGUAAUAAAAUAAUAAAGGCGACCGAACUAAGAUUUGUUACAUCGAUCAGCAUGUAUUUCUUGUUUUGGUCUCUGGGAUUUUCGGUGAUAUGUAUGCUGCUCAGUUGUACCCCUUCUUCUUUGAA